rnacentral:lncRNA from 1 species
ACAUUUUUAUUUUCAAAACCAACUGCACAAAAUAAUAAUACAAAUUUUCGGUUACAUGAAAUACCAUGGGUUAUUAUUAUAAUAGGCUAUUUAUAAUCCAUCCACCCAGUGCAACCUUGUACCCAGGCCCCACCCAGUGGUGUGACGUGGUAUACAUGCAGGCUGACUGAACUACGUUUUCCAACUUCUUCAUAAUUCGAUAUAGUCGAUAUUUUUGUUCGAUAUCAAUAUAUUGACUUUUUCAUAUCGCAUCAGCCUAGUAAAACCCAAAAUAGUUUCAAUUUAUCUUGCCUUGCUAGUGGGGCACCACAUUGUCAUGCAUAAUAAUAUGAUAUUCAAGUUUAGUGGCAAUUUCAAACUCGGCAUCACAGACACAACAGAUAUAACCAAUACCAGUUGCUUCUCUUGCUUCUAAUUCCUUACAGACAUCACAUUGGUAGGACGUACCAUGGUCUUUGGCCUUGUGCUGAUAUAAACUUUCAAUAUCAGGGAACUGUUUGUUGCAUUUGUCACAGUCAAAAUGAUCAUCACUCAGUAUCUCAGCACAAUAAUAAGCCAUCUGUCAAGUGUGAUCUCCAGUGACGUUUGAUACUUUGUCGUUGUGUGAAUGUUUUCUUGCAUAUACCGCACUCGAAACUCUGGUUUCUCUUGUGUGCUGAUAUUUUAUGUCGUGUUAGCUUGUGUAAUUCUGAAAAUCCCUUGUUGCAAACGUCACAUUGGUAAGGUUUGUCUCCAGUGUGUGUUCUUUUAUGCCUAGUUAAGUGGCUCAAGCGUAAAAAUCUCUUCUUGCAAAUGUCACAUUCAUGAGGUCUGUCUCCAGUGUGUGUUCUCUUAUGUGUAGUUAGGGUGCUUGGGUCAGAAAAUUCUUUUUUGCAAACAUCGCAUUCAUAAGGUUUGUUUCCAGUGUGCAUUCUUUUAUGUCUGACUAAGGUGUUCGACCGUGAAAAUUGUUUGUUGCAAACAUCACAUUCAUAAGGUUUCUCUCCAGUGUGUGUUCUCUUAUGAACGGUUAAAUUGCUUGACUGUGAAAAUCUUUUAUUGCAAACAUCACAUUCAUAAGGUUUGUCUCCAGUGUGUGUUCUCUUAUGACCUGCUAAGUCGCUUGAUCGCGAAAAUCUCUUGUUGCAAACAUCACAUUCAUAAGGUUUCUCUCCAGUGUGUGUUCUCUUAUGAACGGUUAAAUUGCUUGACUGUGAAAAUCUUUUAUUGCAAACAUCACAUUCAUAAGGUUUGUCUCCAGUGUGUGUUCUCUUAUGACCUGCUAAGUCGCUUGAUCGCGAAAAUCUCUUGUUGCAAACAUCACAUUCAUAAGGUUUCUCUCCAGUGUGUGUUCUCUUAUGAACGGUUAAAUUGCUUGACUGUGAAAAUCUUUUAUUGCAAACAUCACAUUCAUAAGGUUUGUCUCCAGUGUGUGUUCUCUUAUGACCUGCUAAGUCGCUUGAUCGCGAAAAUCUCUUGUUGCAAACAUCACAUUCAUAAGGUUUCUCUCCAGUGUGUGUUCUCUUAUGAACGGUUAAAUUGCUUGACUGUGAAAAUCUUUUAUUGCAAACAUCACAUUCAUAAGGUUUGUCUCCAGUGUGUGUUCUCUUAUGACCUGCUAAGUCGCUUGAUCGCGAAAAUCUCUUGUUGCAAACAUCACAUUCAUAAGGUUUCUCUCCAGUGUGUGUUCUCUUAUGAACGGUUAAAUUGCUUGACUGUGAAAAUCUUUUAUUGCAAACAUCACAUUCAUAAGGUUUGUCUCCAGUGUGUGUUCUCUUAUGACCUGCUAAGUCGCUUGAUCGCGAAAAUCUCUUGUUGCAAACAUCACAUUCAUAAGGUUUCUCUCCAGUGUGUGUUCUCUUAUGAACGGUUAAAUUGCUUGACUGUGAAAAUCUUUUAUUGCAAACAUCACAUUCAUAAGGUUUGUCUCCAGUGUGUGUUCUCUUAUGACCUGCUAAGUCGCUUGAUCGCGAAAAUCUCUUGUUGCAAACAUCGCAUUCAUAAGGUUUCUCUCCAGUGUGUGUUUUCUUAUGAACGGUUAAAUCGCUUGACUUUGAAAAUAUUUUAUUGCAAACAUCACAUUCAUAAGGUUUGUCUCCAGUGUGUAUUCUCUUAUGACCUGCUAAGUUACCUGACUGCGAAAAUCUUUUGUUGCAAACAUCACAUUCAUAAGGUUUCUCUCCAGUGUGUGUUCUCUUAUGAACGGUUAAAUUGCUUGACUUUGAAAAUAUUUUAUUGCAAACAUCACAUUCAUAAGGUUUCUCUCCAGUGUGUGUUCUUUUAUGUCUCACCAAAUUUCCUUUCUUAGAAAAUACCUUGUUAGAAACCUCAAAUUUCCUAGACAUGGUUUCAGCUUUUGAUCUUUUCUCCGUACGGGCACACGUGCGGUCAAAUUUCGAUUAAAAAUAUCACCCAACUGUUCCCUCGAGUCUUUCUUUAUUGAAUCUUGAUAAUACUUCGGUUCUUACACAAUUUCUGAUCAUAAAAAUGAGAAUAUUCAGAGACACAGUUUGCAAACAACACGAGUAUCAAAAUAUGG